UAAGAAAGGGGCUAGCGUACUUCGGAAUUACGGGGCGUAAAGCGCACGUAGGCGGCCUUGUAAGUUGGGGGUGAAAUCCCGGAGCUCAACUCCGGAACUGCCUUCAAGACUGCAAAGCUCGAGGACGCGAGAGGUUAGCGGAAUUCCGAGUGUAGAGGUGAAAUUCGUAGAUAUUCGGAAGAACACCAGUGGCGAAGGCGGCUAACUGGCGCGUUUCUGACGCUGAGGUGCGAAAGCGUGGGGAGCAAACAGG
rnacentral:rRNA from 1 species